CAGCUUCCCAGUCAGAGCUGUGGGGGAAGCUACCGAGGCAGCUGUGAAAAGAGCUAACCUCCGGUCCGUGGGGAGUCCGUUGCCGCCAUCAUGCGAUGUUAAACUGAGGAAUUGGCCAGGUGUUCUUGAUUAGGAUGGCGAGCUAAGACCGGAACCUACAUCUUCAUCUCACCCUACGGGUCUGGUAGGAGGCUGACACAGCCUGC